GACCAGCAGGGCUCUCGGACAUAUGAAUAAGAAUACCCACUUGGAAAAGAGAAGAAGUACAUACCCCUUCAUCUUAGGUCAUGUCUUUUUCUGAGGUCCUAUUUCAGUAGUACAGACGCCUCUGAGCUGAAGAGAGGUAAAGAAAAGAACAUGCUGUCUCGCACACAAAAUCUUUGACUGACCACCAGCCACCUCCCAGUAUCUGGAGAAAUUCUGGCCUCACGAACUGUCCGCAAAGUAAGUUUUAUUUAAGUACCCUGAUUAA
rnacentral:lncRNA from 1 species